AACGCUAGCUACAGGCUUAACACAUGCAAGUCGCGGGGCAGCAUUUACUUAGCUUGCUAAGUGAGAUGGCGACCGGCGCACGGGUGAGUAACGCGUAUCCGACCUGCCCUUCACCACGGGAUAACCCGGUGAAAACCGGCCUAAUACCGUAUGUUGUCAUUUAUGCGCAUGUAUAUAUGACGAAAGGUUUAGCGGUGAAGGAUGGGGAUGCGUCCGAUUAGGUAGUAGGCGGGGUAACGGCCCACCUAGCCAUCGAUCGGUAGGGGUUCUGAGAGGAAGGUCCCCCACACUGGAACUGAGACACGGUCCAGACUCCUACGGGAGGCAGCAGUGAGGAAUAUUGGUCAAUGGGCGAGAGCCUGAACCAGCCAAGUAGCGUGCAGGAUGACGGCCCUACGGGUUGUAAACUGCUUUUAUGCGGGGAUAAAGUCAGGGAUGUGUCCCUGUUUGCAGGUACCGCAUGAAUAAGGACCGGCUAAUUCCGUGCCAGCAGCCGCGGUAAUACGGAAGGUCCGGGCGUUAUCCGGAUUUAUUGGGUUUAAAGGGAGCGUAGGCCGCCCCUUAAGCGUGUUGUGAAAUUCUGCGGCUCAACCGUAGACGUGCAGCGCGAACUGGUUUCCUUGAGUGCGCUGAAAGUGGGCGGAAUUUGUGGUGUAGCGGUGAAAUGCUUAGAUAUCACGAAGAACUCCGAUUG
rnacentral:rRNA from 1 species